GUCUUAAUUUUUAGGAAGUAAAGCCAGGUAUCACCAAUCAAUGUCAAAUGAGUGAGGUGGUCCACUUUUUUAUGCUGAAUCGCCUUGCCACCGGCUGAUGGACCCGGCUCGCCGCCAUCGUGAGCCUGUUGGAAGUAUCACGGGACUCUGUGACGGAGCCUUGACCUUUUCCAUUUGAAGGUAUGCCCUGUGACGGCGGCGUCAGACUGGGAGUGCGGCCGGAGCAUGUGGCCCGAGGGCCCUGGCCAUUUUAGGAGAUGCCAACUAAGAGACAACAGCCCGGUGACGGCAGGAACUUCCCAGAUGGCGAGAC